GCAGGAGCAGCCUCCCCCAUACAGACACACACAGAGCUGAUGCAUUAAGGCAGACCAGUACCCACAUGCUUGCCAUCCUGAGCAGGCAGUGGCUUCAAUAGCAGUGGGAUGCCCAGCCAUACCCAAUCACCGCCUGAGCUGCAAGACACCUGGACCUUAUGUGUGACAUCACAUCUCCUUUUCCAUCACUACCCAGUUCUCCAUUCCUCUUUCCCUGUAACAGCAAGGCAGCCCAGAUAGCUGGGAGAGCAUGCACCACCAUAGCAGCCAGCAGCGCCCAGCUUUUCCCAGGCUCCUGGCACUCGGUACUGCCCUUACUGCUACUCCACCAUGGGCUCCCCAUGGUGGCUUAUCAGCCACUCCUGUGCAAAGUCCACCAUCUCACCUGCUGCAGAGCUUUCACCUAAAUCCACCACAUUCCCCUCCCAGAAACAGUUGAGGAGUCAUCCCACACUGCUAACCGCCAAGGAGAUAACUUGCAGCAGAGGGGCAGGGUCAGUGGUGCUAUCUAGGAUGACCACAGCUGCCAGGAAUGAUCCCAGCACCUCUCAGCAGUCCCCAGUGAGGAUUCAUUUAAUCAGGC
rnacentral:lncRNA from 1 species